rnacentral:rRNA from 1 species
GAUGAACGCUGGCGGCGUGCCUAAUACAUGCAAGUCGAGCGAACAGACGAGGAGCUUGCUCCUUCGACGUCAGCGGCGGACGGGUGAGUAACACGUAGGUAACCUACCUAUAAGACUGGGAUAACUUCGGGAAACCGGAGCUAAUACCGGAUAAUAUUUCGAACCGCAUGGUUCGAUAGUGAAAGAUGGCUUUGCUAUCACUUAUAGAUGGACCUGCGCCGUAUUAGCUAGUUGGUAAGGUAACGGCUUACCAAGGCAACGAUACGUAGCCGACCUGAGAGGGUGAUCGGCCACACUGGAACUGAGACACGGUCCAGACUCCUACGGGAGGCAGCAGUAGGGAAUCUUCCGCAAUGGGCGAAAGCCUGACGGAGCAACGCCGCGUGAGUGAUGAAGGUCUUCGGAUCGUAAAACUCUGUUAUUAGGGAAGAACAAACGUGUAAGUAACUGUGCACGUCUUGACGGUACCUAAUCAGAAAGCCACGGCUAACUACGUG